rnacentral:rRNA from 1 species
GAGUAGCUGGCGGCAGGCUUACACAUGCAAGUCGAGCGGUAGCACAGGGGAGCUUGCUCNCUGGGUGACGAGCGGCGGACGGGUGAGUAAUGUCUGGGAAACUGCCUGAUGGAGGGGGAUAACUACUGGAAACGGUAGCUAAUACCGCAUAACGUCGCAAGACCAAAGAGGGGGACCUUCGGGCCUCUUGCCAUCAGAUGUGCCCAGAUGGGAUUAGCUAGUAGGUGGGGUAAUGGCUCACCUAGGCGACGAUCCCUAGCUGGUCUGAGAGGAUGACCAGCCACACUGGAACUGAGACACGGUCCAGACUCCUACGGGAGGCAGCAGUGGGGAAUAUUGCACAAUGGGCGCAAGCCUGAUGCAGCCAUGCCGCGUGUGUGAAGAAGGCCUUCGGGUUGUAAAGCACUUUCAGNGAGGAGGAAGGUGGUGANCUUAAUACGNUCAUCAAUUGACGUUACUCGCAGAAGAAGCACCGGCUAACUCCGUGCCAGCAGCCGCGGUAAUACGGAGGGUGCAAGCGUUAAUCGGAAUUACUGGGCGUAAAGCGCACGCAGGCGGUUUGUUAAGUCAGAUGUGAAAUCCCCGGGCUCAACCUGGGAACUGCAUUUGAAACUGGCAAGCUAGAGUCUCGUAGAGGGGGGUAGAAUUCCAGGUGUAGCGGUGAAAUGCGUAGAGAUCUGGAGGAAUACCGGUGGCGAAGGCGGCCCCCUGGACGAAGACUGACGCUCAGGUGCGAAAGCGUGGGGAGCAAACAGGAUUAGAUACCCCUGGUAGUCCACGCUGUAAACGAUGUCAUUUGGAGGUCGUGCCCUUGAGGCGUGGCUUCCGGAGCUAACGCGGUAAAUCUCCCGCCCGGGGGAGUAC